rnacentral:lncRNA from 1 species
GCGCUCUCAUCUGAGCUUUAAGGUCUGAGGAGCAAUACAGCCCUCCAAUCUGCUGUUACUGGGGGAAAGGAAUGGGAGGCCCUAACUCUUUGGAACAGGACAAAUAGAAUCUGAAACUCCUGCUUCUCUUCCCAACUUUCAGGAAGUGGCAAAGGCUGUGACAGAAGAAAGACACCCUGCCACUGCAGCAAAAAAACUGGCUGAAAAACUGGACUCUCAAAUAUAACUUACUCCACCUCUUACUGUUAUUAUUGCUGUCCUUCUUUUGCAGCUCCUGCUCUCUUCUCCAGAAGGAGAGCUUGGCUCAAAUGAGAAAUUUCUCUGUGUGCAUGAAGAGAACCUGGAAGUUCUUCAGUGAAAUCUUCAGGGGAAGUUCUUCAAACUACAUGGAACAGUUCCUAGGCCACUGGCAGUUACUUCAGAAGGCCAACUGAAGUUUCCUUUUCAGUGCAGCGGAAGAAGCAUCCUUUGAUCAGCUACGAUCCUCUGUAGCUGCUGAAUUAUUCCCGGUAUUAAAGAAAAAGCUCUAACUAGCACCACAAAAAGCUAGACCAUUGCAAGCAUUUCUUCAACAAGGGAAUAGAGCUGAAGUGGGAUUCUGCGGAGAACGAUCACAUGCAACAUAUAUGCUUGUUUCCCUCUGAGGCUAACUGUCUGCCUUGACUGGGUCUCUGUAUGUCAAAUCAAAAUUAAACC